AUGGCGCCCAAGGCCGAGAAGAAGCCCACCGCGGAGAAGAAGCCGGUGGAGACGGAGAAGAAGCCCAAGGCCGAGAAGCGCGUGCCCGGCAAGGACGGCGGCGCCGGCGCCGACAAGAAGAAGAAGAAGGCCAAGAAGAGCGUCGAGACCUACAAGAUCUACAUCUUCAAGGUCCUGAAGCAGGUGCACCCCGACAUCGGCAUCUCCUCCAAGGCCAUGUCCAUCAUGAACUCCUUCAUCAACGACAUCUUCGAGAAGCUCGCUGGCGAGUCGGCCAAGCUGGCUCGCUACAACAAGAAGCCCACCAUCACCUCCCGGGAGAUCCAGACCGCCGUGCGCCUCGUCCUCCCCGGCGAGCUCGCCAAGCACGCCGUCUCCGAGGGCACCAAGGCCGUCACCAAGUUCACCUCCUCUUAG
rnacentral:rRNA from 1 species